UACGGGGGGGGUAAGCGUUGUUCAGAAUUACUGGGCGUAAAGGGCUCGUAGGCGGCCAACUAAGUCAGACGUGAAAUCCCUCAGCUUAACUGGGGAACUGCGUCUGAUACUGGAUGGCUUGGAUUCGGGAGAGGAAUGCGGAAUUCCAGGUGUAGCGGUGAAAUGCGUAGAUAUCUGGAGGAACACCGGUGGCGAAGGCGGCAUUCUGGACCGACAUUGACGCUGAGGAGCGAAAGCCAGGGGAGCAAACGGG
rnacentral:rRNA from 1 species